UACGUAGGGGGCGAGCGUUGUCCGGAAUUACUGGGCGUAAAGAGCUUGUAGGCGGUUUGUCGCGUCGUUUGUGAAAACCUGGGGCUCAACUCUGGGCGUGCGGUCGAUACGGGCAUCACUAGAGUUCGGCAGGGGAGACUGGAAUUCCUGGUGUAGCGGUGAAAUGCGCAGAUAUCAGGAGGAACACCGGUGGCGAAGGCGGGUCUCUGGGCCGUAACUGACGCUGAGGAGCGAAAGCGUGGGGAGCGAACAGG
rnacentral:rRNA from 1 species